rnacentral:rRNA from 1 species
UACGUAGGGUGCAAGCGUUAUCCGGAAUUAUUGGGCGUAAAGAGCUCGUGAGCGGUUUGUCGCGUCUGCUGUGAAAACCCGAGGCUCAACCUCGGGCCUGCAGUGGGUACGGGCAGACUAGAGUGCGGUAGGGGAGAUUGGAAUUCCUGGUGUAGCGGUGGAAUGCGCAGAUAUCAGGAGGAACACCGAUGGCGAAGGCAGAUCUCUGGGCCGUAACUGACGCUGAGGAGCGAAAGCGUGGGGAGCGAACAGG